GGGGAUUUAGCUCAGUGGUAGAGCGCUUACCUAACAAGUGCAAGGCCCUGGGUUCGGUCCCCAGCUCCA
rnacentral:tRNA from 1 species